AGAGUUUGAUCCUGGCUCAGGAUAAACGCUGGCGGCGUGCCUAACACAUGCAAGUCGAACGUCCUACGCAAGUAGGGAGUGGCGGACGGGUGAGGAACACGUGAGUACCUACCCUUCAGUGAGGAAUACCGGCGAGAAAUCGCCGACAAUACCGCAUACCUUUCGGAAGAAAGAAAGCCCGCAAGGGCGCUGAGGGAUGG
rnacentral:rRNA from 1 species